CAUGAAUUUAUCAUCACACUUUUAUUUUUUUUACCAAUUUUUUUAUCCCGAGAUUCCAUGAAAAUCCCGAAUAUUUAAUUUGGGGUUGCCGUACGGCCAACAGGCGGCUCUGUCCAUUUCCUUGCGAUAACAUAUAAUAUAUCAACCUUUUUGAAUGUGAAUUAAUUGUUACUUAUGACAAAAUGAAGAACAACUUUAAUACUGACGAUUUUCAUUUUCUCUCAUUUUUUUUAAAGUUCUUGUUAAUACUUCAACGCGGUAAGUCUUUUUUUUUCUUAAGCAGCGAAUGAUAAGUCUGAAAUUGUUUUUCACUUAAAGUCUGUUAUUAGUGUAUUCAAUUUAAGUAUUUUGGAUGGUGAUUAAUCAUUUUCCAAGUCCAGUUUCCAAAAUCGUAUCAGGGCCAGACCAUCUCCGUUAACAUUCGGAUUGAAAAAUUGUUAAAAAAUAAAAGUGUAAUGAUUAGUUGAUGAAGAGAUUUCAUAUUGUCCCGUCAUUGACUGAAAAUUUACGAAGAAACGGAAUAAUCGUUCGAGUUAUAUUAGAUUCUAUUUUUUUAGUCUUAGAAGAUAUGGCCAACUAUGAAAACAUUCCUUUACAGGUGUGAAUGUUUUUUUUACCCGCAGAAAACGUUCAUACAUCCGAGUUAAUGCAGCAAGUUCUUUAAUUAUGAAAUCAUUAGAAAAUAAAAAUUCUUUUUGUUUUGGUAACUAUGUGACAUUUUUAACUGUUAAUUUCCCUAGAUGCAGAGUGCCGACAGAUUUGUUGCAAAACGUAACGGUUAUUUGACAUUGAUUGCUUUAUCGUUUUCCCCGGAAUAUUCUGCUCAUUGUUGACCUUCAAAAAUAUCAUUUUUAAAUAUUCUAUUGAUACCUAAGCAUCUGCAAGAUUUAUCUAUAUAUAUAUAUAUACAUAUACAUAUGCAUUACGGACUGAGUUUUAACACUUUAUUUUUAUUCUUGCAAUAACUUCUCAUUUAUAUUCUUGCAAUAACUUCUCAUUUAUAUUCUUGCAAAAACUUCUCAUUUAUAAUGCACGCCGUAUCCCUAUGAAAUUUUGUUUUGGAAGUAGGAAUUUAAUUUAUAGAAACUCAGGUUGAUGUAUGAAAAUCCGGGAAUUGUAACCCUAUUAAUGCAAUUUCGUUAAUCCCAUCCGUUUGAAUAUGAUCACAAAAAACACCGAUAGAAAAAUAGAAAAACGAAAUUUAUUGGACUGAAAGAAUACGGAUUGAAUUAGGAAAAAGCAAAACACAAG
rnacentral:lncRNA from 1 species